AAGUAGAUUGAGUUUAAAACAUUAAGCACUUUUUUUAUUCCUAAAAUGUCCAUUCUCACAAACAAAACCCUACGCCCUCUUCCAACCCCAUCUUUUUCUCUGCCGAAUAAUAACACACACAUAUUGUCUAUCAUAUCCACCCACCGCCUUCCAUUACCAUCUCCGCCAUCUACACUAUCGGCUCCGUCCAUCACCACCACUGCCAUAAAUUCAUCUAACAAAUCAGUUCGUUUCUUCACCCCCAGCAAUCUCCACCAUCGCCGCCAUCAAUCAUCUAACAUUCCAACACCAUCGGCAGUAUUCAACCAAACAUAAAUUUCCUGCAUCAUUUUUUUUUAUUGCGUAUAUUAGAUUUUUAAUUAAUUUCUUACUUAGUUUUGUUUAAUUUUUCAGAUUUGUGUGCCGCCAUUCAAUCACCAUCAUCCCUGAAUCGUUUCGAAUAGAGGUAUAAAAACUGUCGCAUCCAUCAAUUUGCUUUAAUCAGUUAAACCAUCCCAACCAAGCUCAUCAAGGUUAAGCUAGAUUAGGAUGAUAUACAAUGUUCAUUUGAUGAUAUUUUGUUCUCAAAUUUAAGGGGUAGUGAUGUUUUUCUUCAUCAAGCUUCAAUGUCUACUUUUGGAUAUAAUCUAUUGGCAAAAAGUUGGCGAGGAAGAUGCAUAAGGUCUAUAGCUUCAUGUAGGAAACUCAUGGAACUAUCAUAUAUAUUCAGUAUAUGCAUAUCAAAUUGGUUUUGUUCUUUGGGCUGGAAGGUAUAUGAUGUUAUAAGUCUUCCCGUGAGUAUUACAAUAGGUUUUAUUCAUUAGUCAUUUAAUUUAGUACACGUCUUAUAUUAUGCAUAUUUUUAACGGGUUAUGAGUGAGAAUAUUGUAAUCUAUGACUCCGAUGGGAAAUAAGUUCAAUCUUAACUUCUCCCUGUAGUAAUUACUAAAUCUAUACCCAUCAAAAACUACUAGACCACCGCAUAUACAGGUAUAUCAUCGAGUAUCACUCCCAAGUGUAUGCUUGCAUUUACAGUACUUAUUCCACCACUUGGUUUUAGCGCAUGCAUCAUUGCAAGUACAAAGAAUCCACAGAUAAAUUGAGAUGCAUGAUACGAGUACAUUUUUGACAAUGUUAAAUACCGUUUUAUAUAUCGUUUGAAAUUACUACCUCUGUACUGUAUAUCCAAGCAUUAUGAAAGAAUGUUACUACAAGCAUACUAGAACAGGUAAAGAUGGGAAAGAAGUAGGGACAUGAAAUUUGAACUUAAUUUAUUCUGGUCACGACGGAAUGCUUUCUGUGUAUAUCAAUAGCUGAAGCUUUGUAAGUACACGAACCUUAAUUUUCUUUUUAUCUUUUGUACAUAAGGCCUGACAAUUUUGUGGUAACUAUUGAAAUGACUGGGUAAGGAAAAGUUAUUUAGUCUGAUAUAGGGUCCCAAAUUAUCAAUCCAUGUAUGUAUGUUUGUAAAUGUAAUAUUAGAAUAUCAUUGAAUUCUAUGGGAAGGUGUCAGGUUUGUGUCACAAGCAGAAUCGGACCUAAGCCGUAUAGACAUUCAGUUGGAGCGAUAAUGCUACAAUUUCGGAACACCCUCUCUAAGGGAAAGAAAAUUGAUAGUUAACUUUGUAUAUUGGAGGUUCUGUGGACUAAUAAUACACUUCGGGUACAUGUCUACCGGUUUGACCCAUUUCCUUUUUAGCUUUUUCUUUUUCUUUUUAUUUGAUGUGUUCGUUAGGAAAUGGACUGAAAUUAACAUCUCUGACACCCACAUAUCUUUUCUGGCUCAACUAAUGUUAACAACAGUUGGUAGUGUUUUUAUGGGUUGAAUGUGACUUAUUGUUUUGUGAUUGAAGUCGGGGCAAGAUUGUGAAUAUAAUUGUUCCUCGGUAUGAUUUUGCUUCCGCCGAAGUUAACAACGUGGUUUAUGCUGUUGGAGUUUACGGGCGAAUGGAGAGUCUUUCUUGUGACGAAGCAUACAACCCCAAAACUAACCUAUGGAGGCUAAUCGAGUACCGAAGUUUGGUUUGGAAUGAUGGAAGAUACGCUUUUGUGUUUUUCACUUGAAGAGUAGGGAAGAUAUAACACAUUAUGGUAUGACUUUGGAUGCAUCUCCUGGGUGAGAAUGGCAUAUUUUAAACAUUAAGCCACCUGAUUUAUGUUUGUCUUGUGUCACAAUUAAGGCAUAACAUGGCUAAUCAUAGAUCAUCCUUUUACCUUGCAUUUUGAAAUUGUUGUAUUUGGCCUAUCAUUGCAAGAUGAUGUCGUGUUAGUGUAAUUUUGGGAGGAUCUACUAUUUGCAAAAGUAAUUGAUUUUUAUAAGUUGUUGAA